rnacentral:lncRNA from 1 species
UUUUUUUUUUUUUUUUUUUUUUUUUUACAGGUUACACGUGCUAUUAUUAAGUACUCUUCCCUCUUUAUACCAACUAAAAUAAAAUAAAACAAAUGGAGGAUCCAAUCUAUGUGCAAGUUGUAUUUCAUAAAUAAAUAAACUUUGCAUGAAGUAAUUUGAUGUGAACAUUUUCGUUUAUGGGCAAAAUAAAAUAAUUCUCUUAUUUUCUUUUAUGCAGCGUGUUUUUUAGAAGUAUGUUCUGUUUGGGCCUCGGGUUUUUCAGCGGAGAAAUGAGCAUAUGAGAGUUGGUGCCCAGCCCAAAUUCUAGAUUGCGCAAAGGACCAUUUAAAAAGAGACUACUCUCUUCAUCAAAACACAUGAAUUCUUCGGCCCAAGAAAAAUACUGAGACGCGCAAAUGAAUAGUGUAUUUAUUAAUAAACCUUAAAACGAGUCCGAUCGGUGCCGGCUCCAGAUCAGUUUAGUUUUCUCAUCAGCUGAAGAGUACCAACAAGUUAUUUAUCUCUCUAUUAUUUCGUGACGAUGGGAGGACAAGUGACUCUCAGGCACGUACACACUUUUUAUGAAACAUUCAAUCAAAUCCACCAUGAGCAGCUAGUGGCUAGUGUAGUGCUCCGCCGCAAGAAAAGAACAGUAGAACACUGAAACGGCAGCUGCACAUUAGUUAAUUAAUAAUUAAUUGGAGUAGUAAUUUAAUCGAUUGAGAUUGGAAAUGCUGUUGGGUGAAUUGGAAAGUUGAUCUCACGAUUUUCAUAAGCCAAGGGCGAACGGGAAGCCAGUGGCGCCCAGCCAACUGUUGCCGUCGAUGAACCUUCCGGGAGUGAAAGCUUGGGCCUCCGCUGCGCUCGUAAUCACCUUGU